rnacentral:rRNA from 1 species
GCUUGUCUCAAAGAUUAAGCCAUGCAUGUCUAAGUAUAAAUCUUUUACUUUGAAACUGCGAACGGCUCAUUAUAUCAGUUAUAGUUUAUUUGAUAGUCCCUUACUACUUGGAUAACCGUAGUAAUUCUAGAGCUAAUACAUGCACCAAGUCCCGACUCUUGAAGGGAUGUAUUUAUUAGAUUAAAGACCAAUGCGGGCUUGCCCGGUAUUGUGGUGAAUCAUAAUAACUCCUCGAAUCGCAUGGCCUUGCGCCGGCGAUGUUUCAUUCAAAUUUCUGCCCUAUCAAUUUGA